rnacentral:rRNA from 1 species
UGGGGCGGUCUCCUCCCAAAGAGUAACGGAGGAGCACGAAGGUGCGCUAAGCAUGGUCGGACAUCAUGCGGUUAGUGUAAUGGCAUAAGCGCGCUUAACUGCGAGACAGACACGUCGAGCAGGUACGAAAGUAGGUCAUAGUGAUCCGGUGGUUCUGUAUGGAAGGGCCAUCGCUCAACGGAUAAAAGGUACUCCGGGGAUAACAGGCUGAUACCGCCCAAGAGUUCACAUCGACGGCGGUGUUUGGCACCUCGAUGUCGGCUCAUCACAUCCUGGGGCUGAAGCCGGUCCCAAGGGUAUGGCUGUUCGCCAUUUAAAGUGGUACGCGAGCUGGGUUUAGAACGUCGUGAGACAGUUCGGUCCCUAUCUGCCGUGGACGUUGGAAAAUUGAGAAGAGCUGCUCCUAGUACGAGAGGACCGGAGUGGACGAACCCCUGGUGUUCGGGUUGUGUCGCCAGACGCAUUGCCCGGUAGCUACGUUCGGACAGGAUAACCGCUGAAAGCAUCUAAGCGGGAAGCCCCCUUCAAGAUAAGUUUUCCCUGGGAAUUUAAUUCCCCUAAAGAGCCGUUAAAGACUAUGACGUUGAUAGGCUGGGUGUGUAAGUGCGGUAACGUAUUGAGCUAACCAGUACUAAUUGCUCGUGAGGCUUAACUAUAUAACGCCCAAG